rnacentral:rRNA from 1 species
UACGUAGGGUCCGAGCGUUGUCCGGAUUGACUGGGCGUAAAGCGCACGCAGGCGGAUGCACGCGUGGGGUGUGAAAUCUGGCCGCUUAACGGCCAGGCGCCAUCCCAUACGGCGCGUCUGGAGUGAUGCAGAGGUCGAUGGAAUUGCCGGUGUAGUGGUGAAAUGCGUAGAGAUCGGCAGGAACACCCAGGGGGAAACCAGUCGACUGGGCAUCUACUGACGCUGAGGUGCGAGAGCGUGGGGAGCGAACCGG